GUGCUUUGAGUGGGUCUCCGGGGUCCGAACCUCCAACCCUCUGUGUAUCUUACCUCUGUUGCUUUGGCGGGCCUUUGCUCACGCAGCGUACCUCCGGGUGCGAGUGCCCGCCGGAGUCCAUCCAAAUUCUGUUUAUCGGUGACGUCUGAGUACUAUAUAAUAGUUAAAACUUUCAACAACGGAUCUCUUGGUUCUGGCAUCGAUGAAGAACGCAGCGAAAUGCGAUAAGUAAUGUGAAUUGCAGAAUUCAGUGAAUCAUCGAAUCUUUGAACGCACAUUGCGCCCUCUGGUAUUCCGGGGGGCAUGCCUGUUCGAGCGUCAUUACACCUCUCAAGCUCCGCUUGGUAUUGGGUCCUCGUCCCCCGGGACGUGCCCGAAAAGCAGUGGCGACGCAGCCUGACUUCAAGCGUAGUAAUUUUUCUCCCGCUUCAGAAGCUUUCAGGUUGUGUCCGCCAGACAAUCUUCUUGCGGCCCCGGCCGCAAGUACUUUCUAUGGUUGACCUCGGAUCAGGUAGGGAUACCCGCUGAACUUAAGCAUAUCAAA
rnacentral:rRNA from 1 species